rnacentral:rRNA from 1 species
AUUGAACGCUGGCGGCAGGCCUAACACAUGCAAGUCGAACGAGUGGCGGACGGGUGAGUAACGUCUGGGAAACUGCCUGAUGGAGGGGGAUAACUACUGGAAACGGUAGCUAAUACCGCAUAACAUUGGAUGGGCCCAAAUGGGAUUAGCUAGUAGGUGGGGUAAAGGCUCACCUAGGCGACGAUCCCUAGCUGGUCUGAGAGGAUGAACAGCCACACUGGAACUGAGACACGGUCCAGACUCCUACGGGAGGCAGCAGUGGGGAAUAUUGCACAAUGGGCGCAAGCCUGAUACAGCCAUGCCGGGUGUAUGAAGAAGGCCUUCGGGUUGUAAAGUACUUUCAGCGGGGAGGCGUUACCCGCAGAAGAAGCACCGGCUAACUCCGUGCCAGCCGCCGCGGUAAUAC